UACGUAGGGGGCGAGCGUUGUCCGGAUUUAUUGGGCGUAAAGAGCGUGUAGGCGGCUUGGUAGGUCUCGCGUCAAAACCUGAGGCUCAACCUCAGUUCGCGUGGGAAACCACCUAGCUAGAGUCCGGAAGAGGAGAACGGAAUCCCAGUGUAGCGGUGAAAUGCGCAGAUAUUGGGAAGAACACCAGUGGCGAAGGCGGUUCUCUGGGACGGUACUGCACGCUGAGACGCGAAAGCGUGGGGAGCGAACAGG
rnacentral:rRNA from 1 species